rnacentral:rRNA from 1 species
GACAGAGGGUGCAAACGUUGUUCGGAAUUACUGGGCGUAAAGCGCGUGUAGGCGGCUUGGCAAGUCGGGUGUGAAAGCCCUGGGCUUAACCUAGGAAGUGCACUCGAAACUGCCGAGCUUGAGUUCUGGAGAGGAAGGCGGAAUUCUCGGUGUAGAGGUGAAAUUCGAAGAUAUCGAGAGGAACACCGGUGGCGAAGGCGGCCUUCUGGACAGCAACUGACGCUGAGACGCGAAAGCGUGGGGAGCAAACAGG